GCGAACGGGUGAGUAACACGUGGGCAAUCUGCCCUGCACUCUGGGACAAGCCCUGGAAACGGGGUCUAAUACCGGAUAUGACCCUCGCAGGCAUCUGUGAGGGUGUAAAGCUCCGGCGGUGCAGGAUGAGCCCGCGGCCUAUCAGCUUGUUGGUGAGGUAACGGCUCACCAAGGCGACGACGGGUAGCCGGCCUGAGAGGGCGACCGGCCACACUGGGACUGAGACACGGCCCAAACUCCUACGGGAGGCAGCAGUGGGGAAUAUUGCACAAUGGGCGAAAGCCUGAUGCAGCGACGCCGCGUGAGGGAUGACGGCCUUCGGGUUGUAAACCUCUUUCAGCAGGGAAGAAGCGAAAGUGACGGUACCUGCAGAAGAAGCGCCGGCUAACUACGUGCCAGCAGCCGCGGUAAUACGUAGGGCGCAAGCGUUGUCCGGAAUUAUUGGGCGUAAAGAGCUCGUAGGCGGCUUGUCGCGUCGGUUGUGAAAGCCCGGGGCUUAACCCCGGGUCUGCAGUCGAUACGGGCAGGCUAGAGUUCGGUAGGGGAGAUCGGAAUUCCUG
rnacentral:rRNA from 1 species